AUGCAAGUCGAACGCUUCUUUCCUCCCGAGUGCUUGCACUCAAUUGGAAAGAGGAGUGGCGGACGGGUGAGUAACACGUGGGUAACCUACCCAUCAGAGGGGGAUAACACUUGGAAACAGGUGCUAAUACCGCAUAACAGUUUAUGCCGCAUGGCAUAAGAGUGAAAGGCGCUUUCGGGUGUCGCUGAUGGAUGGACCCGCGGUGCAUUAGCUAGUUGGUGAGGUAACGGCUCACCAAGGCCACGAUGCAUAGCCGACCUGAGAGGGUGAUCGGCCACACUGGGACUGAGACACGGCCCAGACUCCUACGGGAGGCAGCAGUAGGGAAUCUUCGGCAAUGGACGAAAGUCUGACCGAGCAACGCCGCGUGAGUGAAGAAGGUUUUCGGAUCGUAAAACUCUGUUGUUAGAGAAGAACAAGGACGUUAGUAACUGAACGUCCCCUGACGGUAUCUAACCAGAAAGCCACGGCUAACUACGUGCCAGCAGCCGCGGUAAUACGUAGGUGGCAAGCGUUGUCCGGAUUUAUUGGGCGUAAAGCGAGCGCAGGCGGUUUCUUAAGUCUGAUGUGAAAGCCCCCGGCUCAACCGGGGAGGGUCAUUGGAAACUGGGAGACUUGAGUGCAGAAGAGGAGAGUGGAAUUCCAUGUGUAGCGGUGAAAUGCGUAGAUAUAUGGAGGAACACCAGUGGCGAAGGCGGCUCUCUGGUCUGUAACUGACGCUGAGGCUCGAAAGCGUGGGGAGCAAACAGGAUUAGAUACCCUGGUAGUCCACGCCGUAAACGAUGAGUGCUAAGUGUUGGAGGGUUUCCGCCCUUCAGUGCUGCAGCAAACGCAUUAAGCACUCCGCCUGGGGAGUACGACCGCAAGGUUGAAACUCAAAGGAAUUGACGGGGGCCC
rnacentral:rRNA from 1 species